CCUCGCAGGCUCCAUGGAGCUGCUUGGUGCCAACUGGGAUACAACUCUGUAUCAUCAGAAACAUUGUCUAACUGGGGCUAUCAAUGCGAUCCGCGGUUCUUCUAUCUUGCCGUCUAGUCCAACGCCGUCUCCUCGUCUUUCCAAGAGGAGUCGGGGUUCCAUGGCCUUGAUUCUUCCAGAUAUACGCACUUGUCUGGUUCUGUCCGAUUCACGUCCUGUUUUUAGUCGUAAAUCCAGCUGCUUAUGCCGCAAUCACUCCAACGAAGAGAAUCCUGAUUUCAUUCUAGAUUAUUCAUAUACAACCAACUAUCCAACC
rnacentral:sRNA from 1 species